GCUUACGGCCACACCGCCUGGUUCACGCCCGAUCUCGUUUGAUCUCUGAAGCUAAGAUAGGUUGGGCCUGGUUAGUACUUGGAUGGGAGACCGCCUGGGAAUACCAGGUGCUGUAACCA
rnacentral:rRNA from 1 species